rnacentral:rRNA from 1 species
AUUGAACGCUGGCGGCAGGCCUAACACAUGCAAGUCGAACGAGUGGCUUACGGGUGAGUAAUUUCUGGGAAACUGCCUGAUGGAGGGGGCUAACUACUGGAAACGGUAGCUAAUACCGCAUACCAUCGGAUGUGCCCAGAUGGGAUUAGCUAGUAGGUGGGGUAAAGGCUCACCUAGGCGACGAUCCCUAGCUGGUAUGAGAGGAUGACCAGCCACACUGGAACUGAGACACGGUCCAGACUCCUACGGGAGGCAGCAGUGGGGAAUAUUGCACAAUGGGCGCAAGCCUGAUGCAGCCAUGCCGGGUGUAUGAAGAAGGCCUUCGGGUUGGAAAGUACUUUCAGCGGGGAGGCGUUACCCGCAGAAGAAGCACCGGCUAACUCCGUGCCAGCAGCCGCGGUAAUAC